ACUGCUGUGCUAGCAAUCAGGGAGACUCCGUGGGCGUAGGACCCUCCGAGCCAGCUGGGUGCGGUGGCUCAGGACUGUAAUUCCAGCUACAUGAGAGGAUUGCUUGAGGCCAGGAGUUUGAGACCAGCCUGAACAACAUAAUAGACUGGGAGCUCCAUGAGGUCUGAGACAACCUGAAGAUGCCCAGCUCAGCAGAGACUGGCUACGGCAAUCACUCAGUAACUGUUUGUUGAAUUGGACAUAAUAGAAGAGUUGAAGAAUUUUAAACAAGUCACCAUCAGUCCAGUGGAUUCCUCAAAGCAAACCUGGAAAUCUCGGCAUGAGUUGGAUUUAAGGCAGUACAUUUUCAGCUCCUGAAAAUUUGAACAGUUUCUCAAGAGAACAACUUGAAACAGAAAGGCAAGGAUGUAGAUGUGGUUGUAGAAGAUGAUGUCUGCGGCCACCAAACUGUCCACUGUGAAGAUAAACCAUGCAUGUUUAGUAGGCAGUGGCUCCUCUUCCCUGUGGGGAGUCCCACUGCUUCCCUGGCCUGGGUGUUCUCUGCCGGUAGAUGUUAUUGACAAAAUUAGCAAAGUCCUCUGAUUCUGAGAAUUAGAGUUUAUGAUAGCUCUAGAUUGCCUCUGCCAUGCUAUUUAAAGUCCUGCUUUAUUGUCUGACAUGAGUUCGGCAUCUAUGAGGACUUGUCCAGUGCAAAGUACAAUCUCCACUGAAAGAUAUCACCAGCACAUCUUGUCACUGUGCUGUAGCAAGCUGGGCAGUACAAUGAUGUUGGCAGGAUCCUGUUUAGGUGGAGGAUGGCCACCUGGGCAUCAAGAAUCUUCUACCUUGAUUCCACAUUGAUUCCCCAAAGUGGGCUUCAGACAGCUCUUCACUUACAUCUUCUGAUUAAAGCAGCAGACAGGGUCCCAGCUAGAGAAAAGUUCUGGGAGCAGGAGAGGUGUUGGUGGCUUUAAAACCAGGGGUGAAGAUUGAAUUAGGAGGUUAGGCAGGAGUAGGAUCAAAGACUUAGAAAAUGCUUGUUUCCUCCUAUUAUUCUUAUGAGAGCUGAUACGGGGCUUUCAGUUUUGGGGGAGAGCCUUGGAAGAGAAUGAGGGAAUUUAAUCAACUAGCGGGACCUUUCCAACUUACAUUUCCCAGUGUUUGUUGGAUGAUACGUUUGCCUAAUAAGUUAAAGCUUCCAAAAAUAGAAAGGAAAGCUUGGUGACACUAAGCUCUGGCAUGCUGUCAUCUUCUGGUUAGGGGUCUUGUGCUUCUGUUUUUCUAUUUCUGACUGAGGACAUAAAAUGUGUUGUGACCUCUCAGGUAAUGCUGUGGUAUCAUGUCCAAGCAGUAACUAACCAGAGUGGAGUUUUUACAGGUAAAAAAGUAUUGAAUAGCUCAGCAACAGGGAGGAUUUAAUGAUAAAUUGCUUUUUCAGAAAAUGACAAGGGGACAGACACUUGCGGUUCUUCCAUUGAGAGCCUUAAGGAAGUUAAGCGAAGCCUCUGCUCACCCCUUCAAGUAACGAUGACCCAUCAGAUUGUGGUCAUAACCAGUAGCAUCUGAGGCACCCCUAAGCUCUCUGGGCCCCAGAUUCCUUGUUAAGUUAAAUGAGGUGACUUCCCAGUUUACCAUUCUAGGGGUUCCUGAGGAGUUAAAAAUGAAGGAGAAAAUGCAACAUGUACCAAGUGAGCAAGAGCUCAAGGCUUAUCUCUGGCACGAAAGUGACCGCUGUCCAUUAGAGAUGUGCUUGCCCUAAAUUUCCUUUAGGAAAUGCAAACAUUGAACUCUGACCUUCAGGACCCAAGCCCCGGCUUGCAUCUAUUCUAUACACUUUCUGUUAUUUGUUAGGGCUCACAAGGAACAGUUAUUUAUUUUUUAUUUUCUAUUUUUUUUUUAGAGAUGGAGUCUCACUCUGUCUCCCAGACUGGAGUGCAGUGGUGCCAUCUCAGCUCACUGCAACCUCCACCUCCCGGGUUCAAGCAAUUCUCCUGUCUCAGCCUCCUGAGUAGCUAGGACUACAGGCGUGUGCCAUCAUGCCCGGCUAAUUUUUAGUAUUUUUAGUAGAGGCAGGGUUUCACCAUAUUGGCCAGGCUGGUCUUGAACUCCUG
rnacentral:antisense_RNA from 1 species